UACGUAGGGGGCGAGCGUUGUCCGAAGUUACUGGGCGUAAAGCGCACGUAGGCGGCUUUGUAAGUUACAUUUGAAAGUCGGCAGCUCAACUGUCGAGAGAGGUGUAAGACUGCAAGGCUUGAGGCAAGCAGAAGAGUGUGGAACUCCGAGUGUAGCGGUGGAAUGCGUAGAGAUUCGGAAGAACACCCAUGGCGAAGGCAGCACUCUGGGCUUGACCUGACGCUGAGGAGCGAAAGCCAGGGGAGCAAACGGG
rnacentral:rRNA from 1 species